rnacentral:rRNA from 1 species
AAGUCGAGGGGCAGCAUAUCGCUUCGGUGAUGAUGGCGACCGGCGCACGGGUGAGUAUCGCGUUUGUAACCUACCCUUAACUGGGGGAUAGCCCGAAGAAAUUCGGAUUAAUACCCCAUUAAAUUUAAGCACGGCAUCGUGCUUUCAUUAAAGCUCCGGCGGUUAAGGAUGGGCAUGCGUGACAUUAGUUUGUUGGUAAGGUAACGGCUUACCAAGACUACGAUGUCUAGGGGGUCUGAGAGGAUGAUCCCCCACACUGGUACUGAGACACGGACCAGACUCUACGGGAGGCAGCAGUGAGGAAUAUUGGUCAAUGGACGAAAGUCUGAACCAGCCAUGCCGCGUGCAGGAUGACGGCUCUAUGAGUUGUAAACUGCUUUUAUAUAGGAAGAAAUCCUUCUACGUGUAGAGGGUUGACGUACUAUAAGAAUAAGCAUCGCUAACU